AAGAGGUCUAGAGGGAGUUUGCCAAAAUGAUUGGUGAGAGCAUAGUUUGUAGCUGGAAGCAUGCCUGCCACAUAUACUCAGUUUGAGAAGGCUGGGAUGGGAGUCUUGUUCAAUUUACAAAGCAAAGCAUGCAUCAUUUGUAGAAUUCAUUUCGUAUUUGCUAUCCACUUUUGCUUUAUGAAUGAAUUGUUUCUUUUUAUUUUUUCAAUGAUCAAUCAGGAGGCUUCCGAGACCGGGGCAAGAGUUUUGGCAGUGGUCGCCCAUGGAGCUGAUUGAUGGAACUCCUACAAUAAUGCUAUUGAUGUAUCCUCACUCUUUGUAAUGUGGUACUCCCAAAUUAGCUACUGUUUGUAAGAAAAGUGGUAGGAGUUUGGAUUUCUUAUUUGUUAGACUCAUUUUUCUCCUAUUUUUAUUUUGGUUGAAAUGUCCAUAGAACUUUGAUAAGCCUUGUAUCUACAAUCAAACAGUUAUUUAUACUUUUACAGUUCAAACCACCGUGAUUUGUUUCACUCCAGUGACCAUAACAUGCAAUAUGAUGCAACAUAUAUUGUAUGCUUGAGAGUUUCCAUGUGCAGAGGAAGCGGUGAACCACAUAUAAUUGCAAAUUUAGACUGGAGCACUCCAAAUGCCUCCUCAAAGCCAUUUCUUGAUAAUUAUUGUUGGACAAAUAGUUUUCUUUUCUCUCCGUGUAGCAUUAGAAUUAUUUUGACAAAUGUAUCCCCCUCAAGAUUUUUUCUUGAAAGGCACUGGUAGAUAUGAUUUGCUCUGGGAUAUAUACCUUUUGCUAAAUAGUACCGCAUAUUCCUUUUGCUAAAUUGUACCACAUGUUAAAUAGUUUUUAUAGGG
rnacentral:lncRNA from 1 species